AUCCAGAUGAUGAGUCCCAGACUAGACGAAGCGUGCGUCCUGGAU
rnacentral:hammerhead_ribozyme from 1 species